UACGAAGGGGGCUAGCGUUGCUCGGAAUUACUGGGCGUAAAGGGCGCGUAGGCGGAUAGUUUAGUCAGAGGUGAAAGCCCAGGGCUCAACCUUGGAAUUGCCCUUGAUACUGGCUAUCUUGAGUUCGGGAGAGGUGAGUGGAAUGCCGAGUGUAGAGGUGAAAUUCGUAGAUAUUCGGCGGAACACCAGUGGCGAAGGCGACUCACUGGCCCGAUACUGACGCUGAGGCGCGAAAGCGUGGGGAGCAAACAGG
rnacentral:rRNA from 1 species